AUUGAACGCUGGCGGCAUGCCUUACACGUGCAAGUCGAACGGCAACAGGCUAAGCUGACGAGUGGCGAACGAGUGAGUAAUGUAUCGGAACGUGCCCAGUCGUGGGGGAUAACUGCCCGAAAGAGCAGCUAAUACCGCAUACGACCUGAGGGUGAAAGCGGGGGAUCGCACGACCGCGCGCGAUUGGAGCGGCCGAUAUCAGAUUAGGUAGUUGGUGAGGUAAAGGCUCACCAAGCCGACGAUCUGUAGCUGGUCUGAGAGGACGACCAGCCACACUGGGACUGAGACACGGCCCAGACUCCUACGGGGGGCAGCAGUGGGGAAUUUUGGACAAUGGGCGCAAGCCUGAUCCAGCCAUGCCGCGUGCGGGAAGAAGGCCUUCGGGUUGUAAACCGCUUUUGUCAGGGAAGAAAAGGUUCUGGCUAAUACCUGGGACUCAUGACGGUACCUGAAGAAUAAGCACCGGCUAACUACGUGCCAGCAGCCGCCGUAAAAC
rnacentral:rRNA from 1 species